ACGCAUGAAGUAUUACAAAGAGUGAGAAUGGAUCAGUGAAAUGAAACUCGCAAAAGAGCUUCUUGAAUUCAGUGAAGAUCGUAAUCCCUGGGAGUCGGUGGAAGGGAAACUUAUAGAGAUAAGGGACGUUAUGAGAAAAAUGGUGAAACAGAUGAGGCCUGGAGGAGAAUAAACGGAUCUCUUGGUGUUCUAGCUUGACGACACAUCGAGAGAUAUAUUACUUCGGUUUUCUUGGGAAUUUUUAUUCACUUGUGGUUUGUAAGCCACCGACGAGAAAAGAUAGAGAAAUUGUUGUUGUGAAGUUGAGGCCAAAUUUCUCAUUAAGCAAUAAACAAAGCCGCUGUGGUAACGACCAGUUUAAAAAAAAA